rnacentral:lncRNA from 1 species
CUGAAGGAGACUAAGGAGAACAGUUACGCCUCGACACACCAGGACAAGCAACAAAACUAACCCUCCCCUACCAGCCCAGGGCGGCCGGGUGAGCACCGGCCGGUCAGGGACACACAGGGAGCAAAGCAACCUUAGCUAGCAGGGGGAGAUGCUCACAGCACUACCAACUUACAACAACAAAAACAAGGCAAAAAAAAAAACAAAACAAAACAAAAAAAAAAACCACCUAUAGUUAAUCUCUGGGAAGGGUACGCCGUCACUUGAGGGCUGAAGCCCGCUGACCUGAGAGCAAGCUCCGACCCGUGCCGCCGGCUGGGCGGGAAGCGCGAAAGCACCGCCUCACACUCAGCCCCGCACGCACCGGCGACCGUCAGAAGCACCGCCGCGCAGGGAAACAUCCUGAAGGGAAGGGUCUCCCGCCUUGAGCCUUGCCUCAGCUGAGCGCCAUGUGAGGCGCUGCGGCGAUAAUUGCGCUUAAAGGCUGCUGGUGCUUGUCGGCCGUGUUUGUGCUGAAACAUUAAGGAAAAGGAAGACCCUUUCUAAUGUAUGGAUGCAGACUGAACAUUGUAAAAUGUCAUCGGACUCCACUAGAAAGAGGAAGAUUCUGCCUUCCAUUGCCUUACGAAGAUACAUGCAUAGUGACAUACAAAUAGCCACAUCAACUUAAAGAAUAGCAAUAGCACGUCAUGAAGUCUUGUGUUCUUCUCAGUAUGGUGGUUGCCAGUUGAGAAAAAAAUGUAUCUGUGUAUUUGUGAGCAUUUUAGUAGAACUCAGAUAAAGUUUUAUAAUUAGGGAAUAAACACAGGCGAAUCAGAG